AGUGAACGCUGGCGGCGUGCUUAACACAUGCAAGUCGAACGAGAACGGGCUAUAGCUAGCUAUAGUUGUCAGCUAAGUGGCGCACGGGUGAGUAAUGUAUAGGUAAUAUGCCUCUUACUAAGGGAUAACAAAUGGAAACGUUUGCUAAUACCUUAUACUCCUUAUUAACAGAAGUUAAUAAGGGAAAGAUUUAUUGGUAAGAGAUUAGCCUGUAUUGUAUCAGUUAGUUGGUGGGGUAAGGGCUUACCGGGACUAUGAGACAUAACUGGUUUGAGAGGAUGAUCAGUCACACUGGAACUGAGACACUGUCCAGACUCCUACGGGAGGCAGCAGUGGGGAAUAUUGCACCAUGGACGAAAGUCUGAUGCAGCAACGCCGCGUGGAGGAUGACACAUUUCGGUGCAUAAACUCCUUUUGUAUGAGAAGAUAAUGACGGUAUUAUAUGAAUAAGCACCGGCUAACUCCGUGCCAGCAGCCGCCGUAA
rnacentral:rRNA from 1 species